GGAUGGGACUCAAGUAGAGCCUGCAUCAAGGCCAUGGCUUAAUGCAUCCCCUUGUUCACAUCUUUUUGGUACAACUUCUGUUUAGGCAUUUAUCACAAAAUUAUCCUACAGCUCUUCCUUGGGGAAAUGUAUUGUCAUGAAAUCCCUUCUUGCAAGCAAUACCACAGUACCAUCAAGCUUAAUUUUGCCAACAAAUUUUCAAUUUGUCAAUAUAUUUCUAUUUAUUUCAAGUACAUUUAUUUCCUGUUGCAGGUGGCUUUGGUAGAAAGAGAUUCAGUAAAGGAUAUUUCAAGAUUAGAAUAACUUCCUGGUAGUUGUUGAGCAGGGGGAUUCCUCUUGAACAGAUUUCAUAAGCAAAUUAUGGCGUCUCAGAGGCUUUUAUCCAGAGGCUAGAGACUACUUACAAAGAAUGUGGUUUCAGGGGAUUUCCUACAUUGACACAGGUUGGAAUGAAUGACUUUUCAAGCACCACUCAUUUCUUUGAUUGUGUGGCUUGGAAGUUUUCUCUUUCCACUGCUCAAAGGACUUUGCUCUUAAUUUAUCCACCUUCUUUCCUAUAGCAUACAAUCUAGAUUGGGCUGGCUUUAAGACAAGUUGCUGAGUUGACGAGUUGCUGAGAGAUCUUCCUUUUUAUGAUGCAGGAGUAAACAACAUACUUUUGAGUAAACCAUUCAAAAUAUUGAUGAUUCAAUUUUGGAGUGUGGAGAGCAAUACAAUUUAAGUAAAGUAUAUUAUAGGUAGCAGUUGCACUAAUAGGGUGAAUCCAGAGCAGUUCCGGGAAUGAAUCAUCUGAAUUGCAGCUGGGUUAUUUUGGUGAUGUAGUCAAAUCUUCUCGCCUGUUAUUUCAUUUAUAUACAUAUAGUAUCAAGACUGAUUUCACUUCCAAAUUCUUCAGUGCUGCCAUUGCUAUAAUGUUGUAAAUGCCACAGAGUCCCCUUCUUUGUUUGGAAUAUUAUAUAUAUCUUUUACUCAAGAUGAUUUUGGAUACUCAUUCUAAUCAGACAGAUUCCCACAAAAAGCAGUUGGAUUUGAGAUUCAUCUAAAUUGGUUCCAUAGUCCCACACACUGAUGGGGCUCCAGUUUUGCAAAGGAGUUCAACCAUAUCCAUUAUUUAUUUAUUUAUUUAUUUAUUUACAGUAUUUAUAUUCCGCCGUUCUCACCCCGAAGGGGACUCAGGGCGGAUCACAUUCUGUACAUAUAGGGCAAACAUUCAAUGCCCAUAAACACAUCAAACUGAGACAAAGACAGACAGACAGACAGACGCAGAGGCAAUUUAACCUUCUCCUGAGGGGGUGUUUGAUUCUGGCCACAGGGGGGAGCAGCUGCUUCAUCAUCCACUCUGAUGGCAUUUCCUCACUUCCUCAUUCCAACGUUGUAAAUUAGUUAAACUUGCCUCCCCACUUUUAUAAGUGGUACCUUAUUUUCCUACUUGAUGCAACUAUUUUUCGGGUUGCUAGGUCAGCAAUGAGCAGGGGCUAUAUUUUAUAUUUAAUUGACGGGUGCUCACCCUGCCAUGGGCUGGCCUCGAACUCAUGACCUCAUUGUCAGAGUGAUUUAUUCAAGCAGCUGUUAACCAGCCUGCGCCACAGCCCGGCCCCAUCAUACUGUCCCAGAGUAUCCAUCAUACUGUCCCAGUAUCCAUCAUACUGUCCCAGAGUAAUCUGCUACACACUUCUGUGGGGAGUCCAGUCAGUACCAGUGCUCUAAACUAGAGGUCUAGAGAUAAUUCAUGGAAAAAAUAAGAGUUGGAAAAACAUUCCUAAAAGUAUUAGUUUACAUCACAAAGAUGUCAGGAUAUGUAGACCCCUCUGUGAAAUAAGCAAGAAAUUCCUGUAUAAAAUAACAUUUUAAUUGGAAAAUUAGCACAAAGAUGACAAAAAAGGAUGGAUAUUCUGAAGUAGCACCAGUAAGGGAUGCUUUAGCCCCCAAGUGAGUGGUUAACUAUUCCUUGGAUAGGUGAGAAGGAUGUUGAAAUAGUCUAACAAAGAGAAAAGCUACACUGUCCACUCAGGUCAAUGUGUGUAUGGAUCAGCCUUGCGGUGGUUGUUAUCCAAAGACAUAGAGCUUAAACUGGGGCACCUUAAUAAGUCUUAAUACAUUUUUUCCAUGUGUUAUGACAGAAAACUCAAAUCCUGCUCCAGUUGGAGCAGUCCAAGACAGGAACUUGACAGGAAAUUUCCUGUCUUGACUGACAUCCUUGCUUGGCUUGACAGCAGUGUGUGCGAAAAGGACCUUGGAGUCCUCAUGGACAACAAGUUAAACAUGAGCCAACGAUGUGAUGUGGCAGCUAAAAAAGCCAACGGGAUUCUGGCCUGCAUCAAUAGGGGAAUAGCGUCUAGAUCCAAGGAAGUCAUGCUCCCUCUCUAUUCUGCCUUGGUCAGACCACACCUGGAAUCACACUGCGUCCAAUUUUGGGCACCACAAUUGAAAGGAGAUGUUGACAAGCUGGAAAGCGUCCAGAGGAGGGCAACUAAAAUGAUUAAAGGUCUGGAGAACAAGCCCUAUGAGGAGCGGCUUAAAGAGCUGGGCAUGUUUAGCCUGCAAAAGAGAAGGCUGAGAGGAGACAUGAUAGCCAUGUACAAAUAUGUGAGGGGAAGCCAUAGGGAGGAGGGAGCAAGCUUGUUUUCUGCUGCCCUGCAGACUAGGACACGGAACAAUGGCUUCAAACUACAGGAAAGGAGAUUCCACCUGAACAUCAGGAAGAACUUCCUCACUGUGAGGGCUGUUCGACAGUGGAACUCUCUGCCCCGGGCCAUGGUGGAGGCUCCUUCUUUGGAGGCUUUUAAGCAGAGGCUGGAUGGCCAUCUGUCGGGGGUGAUUUGAAUGCGAUUUCCUGCUUCUUAGCAGGGGGUUGGACUGGAUGGCUCAUGAGGUCUCUUCCAACUCCACUAUUCUAUGAUUCUAUGAUUCUAUCCCACAUUUCCUGGGCUCAAGUGACUCAGUGAUACAGGAUAGCUGUUACAACAGACCACCCACCUUCUCUUGCCAGCCAGAGCACUCACUUGCUGAGCAGCAUGGAAAAGGCAAAGAUGGGUUUUACCUACACUCCCAGCCUCCUUAGUGACAUGGUGCUUUGGCUGAAGUCAGCCAGAGAGCCCAUGAAAACAUAGGUUGGGGUGGGAUGCCACAGCUGGUAACAGGGAGUGCUGUGAGGGAGUGCUGUAGGAUGGCUGCUGACUAAUGUUGAACCAUGUUCAUCAUGGUUGAGAAAUCAGGCUUCCUUGCCAUGUCUAAGGAGGUUCAGAAAGUCGCAAUCUGGCUGCCAUACAGAGUUGAUCCAGUAUCCAAGACGCUGGAUUGUCCCAGCAUUAUCAAUCUGUGUAGAGCCACUCAAAAUAUGUUUCCCUGCAGGUGGUCAUGAAAGCUACUGCUAUUGACAAAUUCUGGUUCUCUGUAUACUACCAAGCAGAUAGAGGUAAAAUUGCCUUCAGCCAACAAAGAAGCAUAUUUUCACAUUUCCGAGUUGACCAAUAAGCCCAAAGGGAUGAUGAAAUGUUUGCCUAAAGCAUCAGAUUUUUAGUAAGAGGAUAUAGCAUUGCAUCAGUGCCAAAUGAUCCUUCAUGGUGAUAUAAAAACAGAGAUUUUCUGUCUCAUCUCAUGCUUGCUAUCCUUCAUUGAAAGAAGAAAGACCCUGUUAAAGCAUCUUCCUUGCUUUCCAGAACUAUGAAGACACGUUAUCUUUUCCUUUUUGUCCUUGUUUUGGUGCUUCUUCCAGAUUCAGGAUUUACCAAUAAGAUUACCAAUAAGCAAGAAUGUGAACGUGAAGGAGGCUUCUGUGUUUUUCCUAUUGGUGGUUCCUGUAGAUUUCCUUUUGCUCCCAUUGGAAAAUGCAGCACUUGGACAUUAUGCUGUAAAAAGGUUUUUGGUUAGAAAACGAAAAUGGAGAAAUACAGUUCCCAGUAACUGGAAAAUAAUGGCUAUCUCUCUACAGACAGCUGCUUCUCCCCCAAUAAUCUCUCAAAUCUUGUAGUUCUGGCUUCCAACAAUCUCUUAGUUCUAAACGGAAUCUGUUAAUAAAAUUCUUUCAUACUGUCUAAUAAAAUAAAACUAGAUUGCACAUGUGA